rnacentral:pre_miRNA from 1 species
UUAUUACUCCAUCCGUUCGGAAUUACUUGUCUCGGAAAUGGAUGUAUCUAGACGUUCUAGAUACAUCCAUUUCCGAGACAAGUAAUUCCGAACGGAGAGAGUAGAUG